rnacentral:rRNA from 1 species
UACGGAGGGUGCGAGCGUUGUCCGGAAUCAUUGGGCGUAAAGGGCGCGUAGGUGGCCCGGUCAGUCUUUGGUGAAAGCGCGGGGCUCAACCCUGCGUCGGCCAGGGAUACUGCCGCGGCUCGAGCACUGUAGAGGCAGGCGGAAUUCCGGGUGUAGCGGUGGAAUGCGCAGAUAUCAGGAGGAACACCGGUGGCGAAGGCGGGUCUCUGGGCCGAUAUCGACGCUGAGGAGCGAAAGCGUGGGGAGCGAACAGG